rnacentral:rRNA from 1 species
AUACGGAGGGAGCGAGCGUUAAUCGGAAUUACUGGGCGUAAAGCGCGCGUAGGCGGCUUUGUAAGUCGGAUGUGAAAGCCCUGGGCUUAACCUGGGAAUGGCAUUCGAUACUGCAUAACUAGAGUAUGGUAGAGGGAAGUGGAAUUUCCGGUGUAGCGGUGAAAUGCGUAGAUAUCGGAAGGAAUACCGGUGGCGAAGGCGGCCUCCUGCACCAAUACUGACGCUGAGGUGCGAAAGCGUGGGGAGCAAACAGGAUUAGAAACCCCGGUAGUCC